AUCACCAACGCCAACUACGGCGGCGAUAACAAGG
rnacentral:scRNA from 1 species